rnacentral:lncRNA from 1 species
CUUUCCUUCCUCGGAGUCCUCCUUUUAAAGGCUUUUGAAAAGAGGCUUGGAUGAUUGCUGGAUUUCCCUGUUGAGGCACGAGAUGAACGAUUACUUUCUUUUACUGUUGAUGAAUAGUGAUUUGUCUGGAAUAAUUGUUGCUUUUACUGUUGAAGCACGGGACGAAUGAUGACUUGUUUUUAUUGUUGAUGAAUAGUGAUAUGUCUGGAAUGAUUGUUGCUUUUACUAUUGAAGCACGAGAUGAAUAAUUUCUUACUUUGUCAGCAUUAAUGAUGGGAAUUUUGACUAGGCUCCAUUCAUGAUGACUGAAAUUUCACAUGGCUUUAUGCAAAUGGGUCUUGGUAGUUGAUCCAUUUAGUUAUUUGGCUUUUUAGAUCGGCUGGUUGCUGUGAAGAUGCAUCUGAAGAUUCUGAAUCUAAAACUUCUCCUUCUUCAGCGUGGAGCAUCACUGCUUCUGCAAGUAAUUGUUGAGCUAAAUCUUGGAGCAUGGCAACUUUGUUCUUACUCUUUGUGCUUGUUGACUUGGGUGACUUGACUAUUCCUUUGAGGGAUAAGGGUGGACUAAUGUCCGAUAAUGAUUGUGCUGGAAUGACUGGCAUUAAUGGCUUUGUUGGAAU